rnacentral:rRNA from 1 species
UACGGAGGGUGCAAACGUUGCUCGGAAUCAUUGGGCGUAAAGCGCACGUAGGCGGCCUGAUAAGUCGGGUGUGAAAGCCCUGGGCUCAACCCAGGAAGUGCACUCGAAACUGUCAGGCUUGAAUAUGGAAGAGGGUCGCGGAAUUCCCGGUGUAGAGGUGAAAUUCGUAGAUAUCGGGAGGAACACCAGUGGCGAAGGCGGCGACCUGGGCCAAUAUUGACGCUGAGGUGCGAAAGCGUGGGGGAGCAAAACAGG